GUUUAUUUGACGAGUCCUAAAUAAGACGAAACACAUGUCCUGGAU
rfam:Schistosoma haematobium scaffold1310_49, whole genome shotgun sequence.